UACAGAGGGGGCAAGCGUUGUUCGGAAUUACUGGGCGUAAAGGGCGCGUAGGCGGCCUGUUAAGUCGAACGUGAAAUCCCCGGGCUCAACCCGGGAACUGCGUCCGAUACUGGCAGGCUUGAAUUCGGGAGAGGGAUGUGGAAUUCCAGGUGUAGCGGUGAAAUGCGUAGAUAUCUGGAGGAACACCGGUGGCGAAGGCGGCAUCCUGGACCGAUAUUGACGCUGAUGCGCGAAAGCCAGGGGAGCAAAACGGG
rnacentral:rRNA from 1 species